rnacentral:rRNA from 1 species
GUAGGGAAUCUUCCACAAUGGACGCAAGUCUGAUGGAGCAACGCCGCGUGAGUGAAGAAGAUCUUCGGAUCGUAAAACUCUGUUGUUAGAGAAGAACACGAGUGAGAGUAACUGUUCAUUCGAUGACGGUAUCUAACCAGCAAGUCACGGCUAACUACGUGCCAG